rnacentral:rRNA from 1 species
UACAGAGGGUGCGAGCGUUAAUCGGAUUUACUGGGCGUAAAGCGUGCGUAGGCGGCUUUUUAAGUCGGAUGUGAAAUCCCUGAGCUUAACUUAGGAAUUGCAUUCGAUACUGGGAAGCUAGAGUAUGGGAGAGGAUGGUAGAAUUCCAGGUGUAGCGGUGAAAUGCGUAGAGAUCUGGAGGAAUACCGAUGGCGAAGGCAGCCAUCUGGCCUAAUACUGACGCUGAGGUACGAAAGCAUGGGGGAGCAAACAGGAUUAGAUACCCUGGUAGUCCAUGCCGUAAACGAUGUCUACUAGCCGUUGGGGCCUUUGAGGCUUUAGUGGCGCAGCUAACGCGAUAAGUAGACCGCCUGGGGAGUACGGUCGCAAGACUAAAACUCA